UUCUUAAGCUUUGAAUUUAGUUUUCUGCUAUUAAUGUUUAUUCUAGUUCGUGCAACUGAAGCUAUGUGUAGUCAAAUGAACUGUCAUUUGGUUUAUUUUUAUUUUCAAUUUAAGAUGUGAGAUGAUAAAGGAAUCUGGAAUUUGGAUGAUGCCUGAUUUAUGUGCCUUUGAUUUGUUAUUAUUUUUCAAAUUCAUGUGUGUAACUAAAAUUAGACAAUCGUUUGGGAUCAAAUGGGUUUUGUUCAAGUAACUGUCUUAUAGAAAUAGGGGAUCUGAAGUCUGAACAACUAGAAAUGGGUUUUGUUCAAGUGACUGUCCUGUAAUAUGUCAUUCUAAUUUGGUUUGGUUACUAGGAAUUCAAGCUGGGUCAACUCCAAAGCCAGAUUCAGGUUUUAGUCUUUAUUUUUAAUUUAGUCUUGAACUUAAGAACUGUGUUUUCUUCUUUGUUUUUAAUUUAAUUUUUGUCGUUGUCGCGUAAACUAAGAUCUUAGGUUCUAGGCUUUUGUUUCCUUAGAUUUUGGGUUUAGAGUUGUUCGCUUUCGUCCGAGGUACUGUUAUGAAGAUGUUGGGUUGGUUUUCUGUUACGGUGGCAGUGGGAGCAUGGUCCCAUUUUCUGGAAACUGUUAAUGGUUGGGGGUUUUAUUUUGCUAUUUUAUUGGAAGGCGUGGUUCAUUUUUUUGUUAUAAUUUUGUAGCUAUUUACCCACUUGUUUUGUAAACUACUUGUUCUUGUCAUGUCCUUUUCCCUAUUACAACGCUAUUAUUUAUGUUUAUUGGAAUACCCCCUUUUCUUUCCUUUCUCUGUCUCUACCUUAGAAAAAUAGAAACGGCUCCCUUGUUGUUUUCAAGCUUUCUCUUGCUGCUGUUUUAUAGUUUAUAUUUAUUUAUUCUUAUGCAUUGACUAGGAAUCGUUCUGUGUAUUUUUUUUUGCAUAUUGAUAUUUGAGUAUUUGUCGCUUGCCAUUUUUUCUUUUAAAAUGUGUCGUUUAUUAUUCUGUGACAAUUACAACUAGAUUUACUCAGGUAGCCACAGCUUAGAUAAACAUGAACGAUACCGGUGUUUUGCUUGUCCAUGCUAUACUGUGACUGUGGCUUUCUUCUAUUCUUUAUUUUUCAGUUUGAUACCAAUUAUCAGAAGCGAUAGCACUUGCUUAUUGCCAAAGUACUACAUCCAGUUGCUUAUAUUUUUGCUUUUAAGUUAAUGAAAGGCAUGUGUUUGAGUAAUCCUUCUGUAAAAGGGAUAGUUCUUCAUGACUAGUUUAUGGGAUGAAUAUCUAUGACAUGAUUUGGUUGUAUUAUCACGGACUAUAUAUUUGAUGUGUUGUUUCAUUGCAUGAUUCAUCACAUUUUUGGUUGAAUUUUCAGGUUACUAUCCCUAUUUCCUCACAUCGAUUUUCAUUUCUGUUGCCGCUUAGCUUAAUUGCACUGCUUUUUGCACUGAUCUGUGUGUUUUACUUUAUGUAUUAACUUUUCUUUCUUUUUUUUUCUUUGCAAUUUGCAUAUCAUACCUCCCCCACCAUUGGUUUUGGUGUUGCCAGCAUGCUCACAUGUUGGACUGCAUAUAGAACUUAGAAGAACUGAAGAAGUAUGAGGGUAUAUGUGAGCUUUUCACAAAAUAAGGGGGUGUUGAAUUAGUGAAUUACCAUUUAAGUUUACCCAUUUUGAUUUGAGAAUAGGUUUGUGACUGACCUUGUGACUGAGCUUCUUUUCAAGUAAUCAAUGAGAAUCUAUUCUCAUUAGUACUAGUUUGUCAUAUGCUAAAUGAUGAUGCACUGAUCACUAAUUCUAUGCAUAGAAUAGAUUAUCACUUGCUAACAAAGCUAUGGUCCUCCCCCCUCCCCCGCGCCCCUCCUUCUUUUUGGGUCUAAUAAUGCUUGUUGACUAUGAAUUGUGUUCAUUGCUUUAUGCCAUAUUUAUCACUUCACUUCUUUUUUUUUUUCUGAUUCUUUUUAAACCUUAGGUACUGAUUAGUUUAAUUAAUACAUAAGGUUGUAAAUUGUAGUUAAUAAUCAUCAUAUCCAUUACUGUUAUAUUUAUGUCACUAUUAUGUGAGAAUUUGCAGCUUCUAAUGAUUUCUUGAAUUUUGUUGCUGUUGAUAGGGAAGAAAACAAAUUAUUUCGAUUCAGAGAAAGACUCGAUCACGUAAUUUUUUUUCUUUCUUUCUCUUUUUCUUUUUUUGAUGUUAUAUAUAAUUUUAUUUUAUUUUUUUCAUUUUUAGCUUGAAUUUCAUUGAGACUGUUUCAAAGAUCACACCAUACCUCAUAUUUUUUGGGGAAAGAUUUGAUGCUUUUUUUCCUCGUUUUUUCUUUGUAGAAUUGUUCAAUUCAAAAAUUAGUUGAUAUUUAAUUGAAAAGUAUAAAAUCAUAAAUAUUUAAAAUUUGCUAUAAAAUUUAAUAUUUAGGUGUUUGUUAUAUGGUGCCCAUAUUUGUUUUAUAGCUAGUUGAUGGACUAGGUCGGUCAAGCAAGUCGACGGCCACAGCCUACAAAGUUUGUUAGUUGCCAUUUCCGAACCAAAAAAGAAAACACAAGUGGUGUGCGGUCUCUGAACAAGAUGGUGUUAUAGGAAUUGGCAUCACUCUAACUGUUGUGGGACUCAUAGUUGGUGGCUUUGUUGCACCACUAGCCUAGAAGAAUUGAGCAUAUUUUGGCUUUUUUUUAUUUUUUUGUAAAAUGUAUUGAAAAUCAA